UAUAUAUUAGUGUAUUAGCACAUAAGAUUUUGAUUCUUUUAGAUUUAAUUUAAUUUAUUAUAUAUAA
rnacentral:tRNA from 1 species